rnacentral:rRNA from 1 species
AGUGAACGCUGGCGGUAGGCCUAACACAUGCAAGUCGAACGGCAGCACCGUAAGAGCUUGCUCUUACGGGUGGCGAGUGGCGGACGGGUGAGGAAUACAUCGGACUCUACUUUUUCGUGGGGGAUAACGUAGGGAAACUUACGCUAAUACCGCAUACGACCUACGGGUGAAAGCAGGGGAUCUUCGGACCUUGCGCGAUUGAAUGAGCCGAUGUCGGAUUAGCUCGUUGGCGGGGUAAAGGCCCACCAAGGCGACGAUCCGUAGCUGGUCUAAGAGGAUGGUCAGCCACACGGGAACUGAGACACGGUCCAGACUCCUACGGUAGGCAGCAGUGGGGAAUAUUGGACAAUGGGCGCAAGCCUGAUCCAGCCAUACCGCGUGGGUGAAGAAGGCCUUCGGGUUGUAAAGCCCUUUUGUUGGGAAAGAAAAGCAGCAGUUUAAUACCCCGCUGUUCUGACGGUACCCAAAGAAUAAGCACCGGCUAACUUCGUG